CGCAGCAGCGCAGAUGCAGGUGAUCCGGCCAGCCGGAUUGAAACGGGAACGCGGUGCGAUGCCGCGGCUGCCCUCGCAACUGUAAGCGGCCGGACCGCCCCUUUGAGGCCAUUGCCAUACGGCGAGAAGGCGGGGCGGCAACAAACACCGCGAGCCAGGAGACCGGCCGGCAUCGAGACAUUCGC
rnacentral:ncRNA from 2 species